rnacentral:rRNA from 1 species
UCAGUUCGGAUUGAAGGCUGAAAUUCGCCUUCAUGAAGCUGGAAUUGCUAGUAAUGGCAGGUCAGCAUACUGCCGUGAAUACGUUCCCGGGCCUUGUACACACCGCCCGUCACACCAUGAGAGUUGGGAAUACCCGAAGCCUGUGACCCGACCCAAUAGGGAGGGAGCAGUCGAAGGUGGAGCCGGUAACUGGGGUGAAGUCGUAACAAGGUAUC